rnacentral:rRNA from 1 species
GGGUUGUGAGGUUAAGCGACUAAGCGUACACGGUGGAUGCCCUGGCAGUCAGAGGCGAUGAAGGACGUGCUAAUCUGCGAUAAGCGUCGGUAAGGUGAUAUGAACCGUUAUAACCGGCGAUUUCCGAAUGGGGAAACCCAGUGUGAUUCGUCACACUAUCAUUAACUGAAUCCAUAGGUUAAUGAGGCGAACCGGGGGAACUGAAACAUCUAAGUACCCCGAGGAAAAGAAAUCAACCGAGAUUCCCCCAGUAGCGGCGAGCGAACGGGGAGGAGCCCAGAGCCUGAAUCAGUGUGUGUGUUAGUGGAAGCGUCUGGAAAGGCGCGCGAUACAGGGUGACAGCCCCGUACACAAAAAUGCACAUGCUGUGAGCUCGAUGAGUAGGGCGGGACACGUGGUAUCCUGUCUGAAUAUGGGGGGACCAUCCUCCAAGGCUAAAUACUCCUGACUGACCGAUAGUGAACCAGUACCGUGAGGGAAAGGCGAAAAGAACCCCGGCGAGGGGAGUGAAAAAGAACCUGAAACCGUGUACGUACAAGCAGUGGGAGCCCUGAUUUAUCAGGGUGACUGCGUACCUUUUGUAUAAUGGGUCAGCGACUUAUAUUCUGUAGCAAGGUUAACCGAAUAGGGGAGCCGAAGGGAAACCGAGUCUUAACUGGGCGUUAAGUUGCAGGGUAUAGACCCGAAACCCGGUGAUCUAGCCAUGGGCAGGUUGAAGGUUGGGUAACACUAACUGGAGGACCGAACCGACUAAUGUUGAAAAAUUAGCGGAUGACUUGUGGCUGGGGGUGAAAGGCCAAUCAAACCGGGAGAUAGCUGGUUCUCCCCGAAAGCUAUUUAGGUAGCGCCUCGUGAAUUCAUCUCCGGGGGUAGAGCACUGUUUCGGCAAGGGGGUCAUCCCGACUUACCAACCCGAUGCAAACUGCGAAUACCGGAGAAUGUUAUCACGGGAGACACACGGCGGGUGCUAACGUCCGUCGUGAAGAGGGAAACAACCCAGACCGCCAGCUAAGGUCCCAAAGUCAUGGUUAAGUGGGAAACGAUGUGGGAAGGCCCAGACAGCCAGGAUGUUGGCUUAGAAGCAGCCAUCAUUUAAAGAAAGCGUAAUAGCUCACUGGUCGAGUCGGCCUGCGCGGAAGAUGUAACGGGGCUAAACCAUGCACCGAAGCUGCGGCAGCGACACUAUGUGUUGUUGGGUAGGGGAGCGUUCUGUAAGCCUGUGAAGGUGUGCUGUGAGGCAUGCUGGAGGUAUCAGAAGUGCGAAUGCUGACAUAAGUAACGAUAAAGCGGGUGAAAAGCCCGCUCGCCGGAAGACCAAGGGUUCCUGUCCAACGUUAAUCGGGGCAGGGUGAGUCGACCCCUAAGGCGAGGCCGAAAGGCGUAGUCGAUGGGAAACAGGUUAAUAUUCCUGUACUUGGUGUUACUGCGAAGGGGGGACGGAGAAGGCUAUGUUGGCCGGGCGACGGUUGUCCCGGUUUAAGCGUGUAGGCUGGUUUUCCAGGCAAAUCCGGAAAAUCAAGGCUGAGGCGUGAUGACGAGGCACUACGGUGCUGAAGCAACAAAUGCCCUGCUUCCAGGAAAAGCCUCUAAGCAUCAGGUAACAUCAAAUCGUACCCCAAACCGACACAGGUGGUCAGGUAGAGAAUACCAAGGCGCUUGAGAGAACUCGGGUGAAGGAACUAGGCAAAAUGGUGCCGUAACUUCGGGAGAAGGCACGCUGAUAUGUAGGUGAAGUCCCUCGCGGAUGGAGCUGAAAUCAGUCGAAGAUACCAGCUGGCUGCAACUGUUUAUUAAAAACACAGCACUGUGCAAACACGAAAGUGGACGUAUACGGUGUGACGCCUGCCCGGUGCCGGAAGGUUAAUUGAUGGGGUCAGCGCAAGCGAAGCUCUUGAUCGAAGCCCCGGUAAACGGCGGCCGUAACUAUAACGGUCCUAAGGUAGCGAAAUUCCUUGUCGGGUAAGUUCCGACCUGCACGAAUGGCGUAAUGAUGGCCAGGCUGUCUCCACCCGAGACUCAGUGAAAUUGAACUCGCUGUGAAGAUGCAGUGUACCCGCGGCAAGACGGAAAGACCCCGUGAACCUUUACUAUAGCUUGACACUGAACAUUGAGCCUUGAUGUGUAGGAUAGGUGGGAGGCUUUGAAGUGUGGACGCCAGUCUGCAUGGAGCCGACCUUGAAAUACCACCCUUUAAUGUUUGAUGUUCUAACGUGGACCCGUGAUCCGGGUUGCGGACAGUGUCUGGUGGGUAGUUUGACUGGGGCGGUCUCCUCCUAAAGAGUAACGGAGGAGCACGAAGGUUGGCUAAUCCUGGUCGGACAUCAGGAGGUUAGUGCAAUGGCAUAAGCCAGCUUGACUGCGAGCGUGACGGCGCGAGCAGGUGCGAAAGCAGGUCAUAGUGAUCCGGUGGUUCUGAAUGGAAGGGCCAUCGCUCAACGGAUAAAAGGUACUCCGGGGAUAACAGGCUGAUACCGCCCAAGAGUUCAUAUCGACGGCGGUGUUUGGCACCUCGAUGUCGGCUCAUCACAUCCUGGGGCUGAAGUAGGUCCCAAGGGUAUGGCUGUUCGCCAUUUAAAGUGGUACGCGAGCUGGGUUUAGAACGUCGUGAGACAGUUCGGUCCCUAUCUGCCGUGGGCGCUGGAGAACUGAGGGGGGCUGCUCCUAGUACGAGAGGACCGGAGUGGACGCAUCACUGGUGUUCGGGUUGUCAUGCCAAUGGCACUGCCCGGUAGCUAAAUGCGGAAGAGAUAAGUGCUGAAAGCAUCUAAGCACGAAACUUGCCCCGAGAUGAGUUCUCCCUGACCCUUUAAGGGUCCUGAAGGAACGUUGAAGACGACGACGUUGAUAGGCCGGGUGUGUAAGCGCAGCGAUGCGUUGAGCUAACCGGUACUAAUGAACCGUGAGGCUUAACCUUACAACGCCGAAGCUGUU